UAUCUCUGUAGAGUCUGCAUAUCAAUAAGCGGAGGAAAAGAAACUAACAUAGGAUUCCCUCAGUAACGGCGAGUGAAGCGGGAAGAGCUCAAAUUUGAAAUCUUCAAGGUUCUACCUUGACGAAUUGUAGUUUAAAGAAGUGUUUUCUGUUAGAGUUUGAGUAGCAAAAGUUCUUUGGAAUAGGGACAUCAUAGAGGGUGAGAAUCCCGUAUUUGGUACCAUUAUUUCCAGCUUUGUGAUACACUUUCAAAGAGUCGGAUUGUCUGGGAACGCAGUCCAAAAUGGGUGGUAAAUUUCAUCUAAAGCUAAAUAUUGGCGAGAGACCGAUAGCGAACAAGUACCGUGAGGGAAAGAUGAAAAGAACUUUGAAAAGAGAGUUAAACAGUACGUGAAAUUGUCAAAAGGGAAGCGUUUGACACCAGUGUUGUUUUCUCGAAAAUCAAUUAAGAAUGGCAUGAUUUUGUGUUGUAUUGACUUUAUCAGCUUUCUUCACUCUUUUCGAAGUCUUUUUUAAUGCACUUUUCGGUUAACAAGUCAACAUCAAUUUCUUUUGUUGUAAAGGAGUAUUCGGAAGGUGGCUUUCUUUUCGGAGAAAGUGUUUAUAGCCUUAUACUUCUACAAUCGGAGAGACUGAGGUCUGCAGCGUAGAUCCUUCGGGAUUAGAUAUCAUUUGUGCUAAGUGUACGCCUUUUAUAGACAACUUGUUGACUAUAGUUCGAUCCUGUUAGGCUUACUCGCUUAUGUAUUUUACCUACGCUUAGGAUGUUGAAGAUGUAGCACAUCAU
rnacentral:rRNA from 1 species